UACGUAGGGUGCAAGCGUUAAUCGGAAUUACUGGGCGUAAAGCGUGCGCAGGCGGUUAUGUAAGACAGGUGUGAAGUCCCAGGGCUUAACCUUGGAACUGCAUUUGUGACUGCAUAGCUAGAGUACGGUAGAGGGGGAUGGAAUUCCGCGUGUAGCAGUGAAAUGCGUAGAUAUGCGGAGGAACACCGAUGGCGAAGGCAAUCCCCUGGACCUGUACUGACGCUCAUGCACGAAAGCGUGGGGAGCAAACAGG
rnacentral:rRNA from 1 species